rnacentral:rRNA from 1 species
GAUCAUGGCUCAGAUUGAACGCUGGCGGCAGGCUUAACACAUGCAAGUCGAACGGUAACAUAAAGAAGCUUGCUUCUUUGAUCACGAGUGGCGGACGGGUGAGUAAUGCUUGGGAAUCUAGCUUAUGGAGGGGGAUAACUACGGGAAACUGUAGCUAAUACCGCGUAGAAUCAAGAGAUGAAAGUGUGGGACCUCGGGCCACAUGCCAUAGGAUGAGCCCAAGUGGGAUUAGGUAG